AUUUUUUAUUAGAAUAAUUGAAAAGGAGGAUCCAUUCCGUCAAGACCUUAACAGUUGUCGAUGUGUGAAUGCACGUGAAUUUGGGUUCACUUCGCUUACAUGAAGAUUCAUGGGACUCUAAAGGCCCGAAACACAAAACCCCAAAAACACGAUCCGCUAAGUCUGCAACCAUUUGUACGAAGUUGUGAGCUCCCUCUCAUUUCCAUGGUUCAUUUCUUGUUCUCUCCGCUGCAUCUCUCAAACCGAUCACGGAUCGAAGCCUCUGCAAUUUCCUCGGCGAAGCUCUGUCAUACAAAGCCUUUUGUGCCGACUACUUUGGUUUUCCAAUGGGUUCUUCACCACUUCACCUUAAAGAGGAUGAUGCUAAAGUAGAAUCUUCUCAAAAAGCAGUUUUGAGAACAGUGGAGGAGGAGGAGAAGAAGAAUUAUUCAUGAAAACAGGCAGUGCCCGUCGGAAGUUCAGAUAAGCAGCAACAAUGGCUGUCGAAGUUCUCUCCGAACGUAGCCAUUAAUACUUUCCAAGAAAUGAGGUCUUUAUCGGGCGUCCUAUCCAAGAAUUGACGGGCAAGAUCGAAUCUGCCUUCGAUGAGGUAGUCAGAAAUCCUGGCGUUCCAAGAGACGGACGUUCAGCGGGCCAUGAUCUGGAAGAUAUAGAGAGCCAAGUCGCAACGGGCGUUGCGCGUGUGCUUCCUGAUGAACAUGUUCCCUCUCACAACCUCUGCAUCAGAAAUGGGAGAUGUAUUCUUCCUGUUGAUAAGUAUAGAUCGACUUGGCUUUCUGUUCAAUCUGGUUUAGUGAUAGCCGACUCGUUUACUUUGUAGGAAGCGUAUUGAGGAGCUGUUGUAAAAGUAUCUGCUUCUGCAACAAUUGGCGUGGAAGAAGCCAUGCAUUAUGAUCUCGUCUCCUCCUACCUUGCAUGAAAACAGGAGCUACACCCCAUCUCUCUCAUUCCUCCUUCCUUCAAUCCUCUGGAAAGUGAUGCGAGGAUACUCCUAUAUACAACAUAAGUAGGUGCUUUAUCAAAUGUCCAGGUUCGGCAUUUCAGAUGCCAUUGAUCAGAGAAUAACCAAGUGUGGCUGCUUGGAGGCUGUCGUCAAGUGUUCGAUCAAAUGCUCCAAGGAAACCUCAUCCUUCGACGUUUAUGUUUUCGUUGCAAAUGAAUUAUGUGAACAAACAUUCGAAAUUUUUUUAGUAAAAUUUAAUUUACAUGUAAAUAUUUACUUGUAAAA